AUUGAACGCUGGCGGCAGGCCUAACACAUGCAAGUCGAGCGGAUGAAGGGAGCUUGCUCCUGGAUUCAGCGGCGGACGGGUGAGUAAUGCCUAGGAAUCUGCCUGGUAGUGGGGGAUAACGUCCGGAAACGGGCGCUAAUACCGCAUACGUCCUGAGGGAGAAAGUGGGGGAUCUUCGGACCUCACGCUAUCAGAUGAGCCUAGGUCGGAUUAGCUAGUUGGUGGGGUAAAGGCCUACCAAGGCGACGAUCCGUAACUGGUCUGAGAGGAUGAGCAGUCACAGUGGAACUGAGACCCGGUCCAGACUCCUACGGGAGGCAGCAGUGGGGAAUAUUGGACAAUGGGCGAAAGCCUGAUCCAGCCAUGCCGCGUGUGUGAAGAAGGUCUUCGGAUUGUAAAGCACUUUAAGUUGGGAGGAAGGGCAGUAAGUUAAUACCUUGCUGUUUUGACGUUACCAACAGAAUAAGCACCGGCUAACUUCGUG
rnacentral:rRNA from 1 species